rnacentral:lncRNA from 1 species
AUGGGGACAGUGGCUUCAAACUUUCUCCGGCACAAGGUGCCCCGUCCCCAGAGGUUUCUGGAUCGGGCUUCCAUGGCAGCAGGCGUGACCUGGCCAAGAGCUGAGCCAGGCCUCCUGCCUGUAAGGGCCGCUGGCCGGGAGCAGAGCAGGAAGGCUGGACCCCAGCCCUGCUGGACACCUGCCUGGCAGAGGACACUCGAAGACAAGCCAGGCCAAUCCAGAGCUGAGUCCAGAGCUCCCAAGAGGCCCCCGACGGCGGAGCACCACGUCGGCCACGUGGACACCACAUGGCACCCCACGGCCGCCACCAGAGAAGCCCCCCUUCCCCGGGGCCUCGCCUCCCUCGGACACCAUCCCCACCUGUCAUCCCUCCUGAGUGGUAUGUGGACUGUCCAGGGGGUGAGUCAGGUAGAGGCAGGGGCUCCGAGGGGCAGUGGCCAGAGAUGCUCUGGGGAAGGGCGAGGGCGAUGCCCUGCGGGGAGGGGACUCCGGACACACCCUCGGUCGCACGGCCCACCCUACUGGGCUCGGCUGAGGAAGGCGGAGGGUCCGGCAUCGAGGCGACAGCUAACUGCUCGAGAGCCCAGAAGGCAGUGGUGGAGGGUGGCCCUCUGAUGGCCGGGGCCGGGCAGCACCCUGGACGUCCAGGCAGACAGGGAAACUGCUCAACCCAGUAACAUGGACACGUGGCCUUUCCUGCCUGCCCUUCCCUUCUCUGGGGACGUGGGGCCAGGAGCACUCCCGGGGCGCAGGGCUCGCCUCACCCGGGGCCCAGCCCUGCCAGGGGAUGGGGGCCCUGAUUCUGACCCCCAGCUCAGCCGGAGGCCAGUCCUGAGGAGUGAGGCCAAGUGAGCCCGAGGGCGGGCGGAGAGUGUGGCCCUGUGGCCGCGCCCUGUCCAGGUGGGCGUGCGGUCUGCAGCUCGGGGCCCCAGGACCUCAGAUGGCUCCCGGACCAGAUGCACAGCAGCAAGGGGCUGGGGGGGGCUUCCUGUCCCUGACCUGUCCCCUAACCUGGCCUCCGUCUCAGAGCCUAGGUGGUACUCCGUGACCUCGGGCCUUGGGGGUGCGCAUGAAAGACAGGCAGGGAGGCAGUGUUCUUCCUUCUGGGCCCCGCUGUCCCCCUGCCCCAGCCCCACCUGGGUGGGACCCCGGCCCACAGGGGAAUGGGCUUCUGGAUCACACCACAGCCCACCCCACACCCCCUUCCGGAAGCACCUGUGUCGGCGGGUCUGGAGCAUGGGGUGGGGUGCCUGGGGACGUCCCCGGGGAGUUGGGUGCACAGGGGGGCCACCGCUUCUCCCUCAGGGCAGCAGAUUGGGGUCCGCGGUUCCGACGCCACUUGCCCCCCUCCUUGAUUAAAGACGUGAGGCGCCUCUGUAUCCCCCCCAGGGAAGGGGGGGCAGGCCAGGAAGGACCCAGCCAGCCCCGCUAGCCCUCGUCUGACGAGCAGAGCUGCCACCUUCCAAGAAGGGGCCACAGCUCAGCACGCCCCAGAGCGAGAGGGACAGGGCACCAGGCCGGGACCUGCCCAUCUGUGCCCCAUGUCCACUUGAGGUCAGGGGAGACUGGGGGCCCCCAUGAGGGCCCGGGGGAGGGGCAGUCCCCGAGAGGGGGG